rnacentral:rRNA from 1 species
CCAAUAGCGUAUAUUAAAGUUGUUGCAGUUAAAAAGCUCGUAGUUGAAUUUUAGGCCUGGCCGGGCGGUCCGUCUUUGGCGAGUACUGUUCUGUGUCGGGUCUUACCUUCUGGUGAACCGGAAUGUUCUUAAUUGAGUGUACCGGGGAGCCAGGACCAUUACCUUGAAAAAAUUAGAGUGUUUAAAGCAGGCAUUUGCUUGAAUAGAUUAGCAUGGAAUAAUAGAAUAGGACGUUGGUUCUAUUUUGUUGGUCUAGGACCACCGUAAUGAUUAAUAGGGAUAGUUGGGGGCAUUAGUAUUCAAGUGUCAGAGGUGAAAUUCUUGGAUGUAUUGAAGACUAACUAUUGCGAAAGCAUUUGCCAAGGAUGUUUUCAUUAAUCAAGAACGAAAGUUAGGGGAUCGAAGACGAUCAGAUACCGUCGUAGUCUUAACCAUAAACUAUGCCGACUAGGAAUCGGGCGACGUUAUUUUUAUGACUCGCUCGGCGCCUUAUG